CGGCGGGCGGGUGAGUAACACGUGGAUAACCUACCUAUAAGACUGGGAUAACUUCGGGAAACCGGAGCUAAUACCGGAUAAUAUAUUGAACCGCAUGGUUCAAUAGUGAAAGACGGUUUUGCUGUCACUUAUAGAUGGAUCCGCGCCGCAUUAGCUAGUUGGUAAGGUAACGGCUUACCAAGGCAACGAUGCGUAGCCGACCUGAGAGGGUGAUCGGCCACACUGGAACUGAGACACGGUCCAG
rnacentral:rRNA from 1 species